CCUACGGGAGGCAGCAGUGGGGAAUAUUGGACAAUGGGCGAAAGCCUGAUCCAGCCAUGCCGCGUGUGUGAAGAAGGCCUUCGGGUUGUAAAGCACUUUCAGUGGGGAAGAAAGCCUUGGGGCUAAUACCCUCGAGGAAGGACAUCACCCACAGAAGAAGCACCGGCUAACUCCGUGCCAGCAGCCGCGGUAAUACGGAGGGUGCGAGCGUUAAUCGGAAUUACUGGGCGUAAAGCGCGCGUAGGCGGUCUGAUAAGCCGGUUGUGAAAGCCCCGGGCUCAACCUGGGAACGGCAUCCGGAACUGUCAGGCUAGAGUGCAGGAGAGGAAGGUAGAAUUCCCGGUGGAGCGGUGAAAUGCGUAGAGAUCGGGAGGAAUACCAGUGGCGAAGGCGGCCUUCUGGACUGACACUGACGCUGAGGUGCGAAAGCGUGGGUAGCAAACAGGAUUAGAUACCCCAGUAGUC
rnacentral:rRNA from 1 species